rnacentral:rRNA from 1 species
GUAGGUGGCAAGCGUUGUCCGGAAUUAUUGGGCGUAAAGCGUGCGCAGGCGGAUCAGUCAGUCUGUCUUAAAAGUUCGGGGCUUAACCCCGUGAUGGGAUGGAAACUGCCAAUCUAGAGUAUCGGAGAGGAAAGUGGAAUUCCUAGUGUAGCGGUGAAAUGCGUAGAUAUUAGGAAGAACACCAGUGGCGAAGGCGACUUUCUGGACGAAAACUGACGCUGAGGCGCGAAAGCCAGGGGAGCGAACGGGAUUAGAUACCCCGGUAGUCCUGGCCGUAAACGAUGGGUACUAGGUGUAGGAGGUAUCGACCCCUUCUGUGCCGGAGUUAACGCAAUAAGUACCCCGCCUGGGAGUACGACCGCAAGGUUG